GGAGCUCAGUGAGGACGGCGCUGCUGCGACUUUCAGCGGAGGAGCUUUUUAAAAAGCUGGUGGACGCAGACAUUGAUAUAACAGCGGAGGAGGCUCAGAAACCCAAAGGUUAUCAUUGGUGAACGAGUGAGGAGCAGUGGAGGAGAAAGAGCAGGGAAACUGAGGACGGCCUCAGUAUCAAAGAGCUGAUCUGUCUGAGUUUAGAGGAACAUCAGCUCAGAGGGAAAAAGCUCUCCCACCAUAUAAGUCCAGGCCGAGAGCUGAAGCACCACAGGAGGCUCGGAGCUUUGAAAGGUUAAAAACACCUACAGCCGGCACCAUCUCCUUACGAUCAGAUUAUGUAAAGAAAGGCGUGUAACAAGCGAGUUCCUCCGCACACACGAGAUUCCUGCGGAGAUAGCGAGAAGUGCUGGCUCUCCAUGGAUUACCAUCCCAGCAGGGAAGAGGCACAGGCGGUGUGGAGAAAGGAGGCAGAAGCAAGGCCGCAGGCCUGGUGGGCUAGCCAGGCUAUGGAGGCAGCCAUUCAAACCUCUGCUUCCCAGCCUAUUUCUCGCGAAUGCCAGAUCUCUCGUAAACAAAAUGGAUGAAUAGAGGCUACAGACAGCAGCAAGUAACACCAUGAAGGAUGCAUGCAUUCUGCUUAUUACAGAGGCCUGGCUUCACCAAUCCAUUCUACCAUUGAGCUAGCAGGCUACACUACACAGCGUCAUGACAGAACAGAAGACAACAGUGAACAACAGCUGGUGUAACAACUCUUCAGAUUUAUAAUAUCUCACUGUUAAAUGCAGCAAUUAUCUGCAUUUAUCUCCCAAGGAGGUUCACUGUGAUCAUGAUUACUGGAUGGUAAUGCUAGCUGAGCUAUCAGACUUUUGCAUACAAGUAUUACCAAACAAACAGCAUGUAUCCUGACACUGUGAAUAUCAUAGCAGGGUAUUUCAAUCAUACAGAUUUAAAGGCAGUACUCCCCAACUUCCAUCAGCAUGUCAAGUGUUCAACAAGGGGAAAAACACCUUGGACAAGGUAUAUUCUAACAUCAAACUGGGCUACAGGACCAGACCAUUACCAUGCCUUUGCCAGUCCGACCACUUGUCAUUGCUUUUAAUCACUGCAUGUGCCACUCUCAGGAAAACUGCUCCUGGCAUCACUAAGACUGUUACCAUAUGGUCAGAGGGUGCCACCCAGCAGCUGCAGGAUUGCUUUGAGAGGACCAACUGGGAGGUGUCCAAACACCAGGACCUGGACAUGUUCACGGACAGUGUUCUGUGCUAUAUUAAGAACUGCACAGACACCGUCACAGUGAAAAAAUGCAUCGGUGUCUACCCCAACCAGAAGCCCUGGAUGACACGGGGGUUCCAGCAGCUGCUAAAAGAGGAACACCACCUGGAGGUCUGGUAACAAAGACCUCUACAGCAUAACCCGAGCCAAUCUGAAGAGGGGCAUCAGAGAGACCAUGGCAGACUACAGGAGGAGGAUAGAGGACCACUUGUGCAGUAACAACAGCAGGCAGGUGUGGCAGGGAGGUCAGCAUCUGACCAACUACAGGACCAACCGCAGAGCUGCUAGAAGUGAGCCUGCGUUGGCAGAGAAGCUGAACAACUUGCCCGCUUUGAGGUCACAGCACCAGAGAAGGCACUGCUACAUCACACAGCCCACAGCAGCGUAAACCUCACAAUUGAAGAGCAUGAGGUGAGGUGCACGCUGCAGGUUGUCAACCUGAGGAAGGCAACUGAUUCUGAUGGUAUUCUGGGACGCAUGGUGAAGGACUGUGCAGAUCACCUGGCUGAAAUCUGUAGAAAGAUCUUCAACCAGUCCCUGAAACAUUACACUGUCCCACCAUGCCUGAAAUCCUCAAACAUAGUCUCCCUGCCCAAGAAACCCCAUAUUUCCAAUCUUAAUGACCACUGGCCAGUGGCACUCACCCCAGUGUUGAUGAAAUGCUUAGAAAAACUGGUCUGAAGCCACAUCACAGCAGCCCUGCUCUGCAGCUUUGACUUUUUUUCACCAGUUUGCAUACAGAGCAAACCAAUCCACAGAGGACGCCAUAGCUAUAGCACUCCAGACUACACCAUCACACCCGUAGCAGCAGGGGAGCUAUGUGCGGAUGCUCUUCGUGGAUUAUAGCUCUGCAUUCAAGACCACCCCCCCCCCUCACAGUCUUCAGACAGCUGAGCUUGUGUGGUCCUGCUUUGCUGUAAUGAAAACCUGCAGCCACCAGAUAAGAUUGGACACCACUGGACACUCUGAGAAGACAGAUGCUCUUGAGGCUGCUUUCUAAACUGGAACUGGGCCUCACAAGAGUACCUUUGGAUUUAGAGUACAUGGAAUUUACAUGUAGGCAGGAAUUGUAUCUGUAACGCACUUUCCCAUCAUGUUGAUGUGCCGACUGAGGAAUUACAUGCCCUGCAGGAGCUCUUUAGUCUUGUGACAGAGAACAUUGAAUGGACCAGUGGCAGAAAUAUGCAAGUUGACACAGUACCUGGAGAGACAGGGCAUCCCAGGUUAGAGAGAGAGAGAGCGCUUGGAGGAGCUCUUGGAAAUUGACCUUUCCCUGCAUCUCAAAAAAUGCUGGGUGUCUCAACAAGUACAGUGUUUAGACGGAUGCGGGAGUUUGACCUUUCUGCUGGACACCACAGCAGUAUGAGUGAUGGAGCUGGACAGAGUUGUACACAGUAUAGAAAAUGAAAUGCAAACUGCUGUCUGCCGCAUGAUGAAGGGGAGGUUGGGAUCCCUGGGGUUCGAUGUCCAGUGGAGGUGGGUGGCUGCAUCAAUACACCGUGUGGACAUGUGGGUGUCCUCUCCAGGCUUGCUGGAUUAGGCUGCAUCCUACGCAGGACACAUUCUGUGAGAGGACCCCUUUCACUUUGGCACGUGGACACAAACCACAAGCGUCAGUCACGACUGCAUAUGUGGACAUAUUUCUAUAUUGUGCUCUAUUUACACAAGGUUAGGUUAGUUCAUCAUUUAUGUUGAACAGACGCUCCCAAAAUUUUACGCUGCUGC